rnacentral:lncRNA from 1 species
GGCGGCGGCGGCGGCGGCAGCUGCGGAGCUGAAGGGAACCCGACCGGAAGGGUCGCUGCGCCCCGCGCCCCUCACACCCACUGCGGCGGCGACGGGGCGGAGCAGAGCGGGGCGGGGCGGCCGGGUCCGGGUCCUGGAGCUGGGAGCCGCCAGAACGCAUCGCCGCCAGCGUGCCCUCCCUCUGCCUCCGGCGCGGCGGCGCGGAGCCGAGGGAUCUGACAAAGGUACCAGCUCUCCGGAAUCCUGUAUGACACUACAUCAUGAGUGACAGUAAAAGCGAUGGCCAGUUUUACAGUGUGCAAGUGGCAGACUCAACUUUCACUGUUCUAAAACGUUACCAGCAGUUGAAACCAAUUGGCUCUGGAGCCCAAGGAAUUGUUUGUUCUUGGAAUAAAUGUUGCUGUCAAGAAGUUAAGUCGUCCUUUUCAGAACCAAACGCAUGCAAAGAGAGCCUACCGUGAACUUGUCCUCCUAAAGUGUGUCAAUCAUAAAAAUAUAAUUAGCUUGUUAAAUGUGUUCACACCACAAAAAACGCUAGAAGAAUUCCAAGAUGUGUACUUGGUUAUGGAGUUAAUGGACGCUAACUUAUGUCAGGUUAUUCAUAUGGAGCUGGACCAUGAAAGAAUGUCAUACCUCCUCUACCAGAUGCUUUGUGGCAUUAAGCACCUGCAUUCAGCUGGCAUAAUUCAUAGGGAUUUGAAGCCUAGCAACAUUGUAGUAAAAUCAGACUGUACUCUCAAGAUCC